rnacentral:rRNA from 1 species
GACGAACGCUGGCGGCGUGCUUAACACAUGCAAGUCGAGCGGGGACAUGGAGAAGCUUGCUUCGAAAUGUUCUAGCGGCGGACGGGUGAGUAACGCGUGAGCAACCUUUCCUCUACUGGGGAAUAACACAGGGAAACUUGUACUAAUACCGCAUGAGACCACAGAGCUGCAUGGCUUAGGGGUCAAAGAUUUAUCGGUAGAGGGUGGGCUCGCGUCUGAUUAGGUAGUUGGUGAGGUAACGGCCCACCAAGGCGACGAUCAGUAGCCGACCUGAGAGGGUGAUCGGCCACAUUGGAACUGAGACACGGUCCAAACUCCUACGGGAGGCAGCAGUGGGGAAUAUUGCACAAUGGGCGAAAGCCUGAUGCAGC